GUCAGAGGCACUGUCUUCCCCUAGCUAUGCGCCUCGUGCCUGGGAGCCUUAGGGCCACACGGAAGGGUAGAAAUCAGUUUCAGGUCAGGAGGUCUGGAACAGCUUUGUUAAACCCAGUUUUUUUCCUAUGAAAAUGGCUGCAGACACUGGGGGAGGGAGAGGGUGGCCCUGAUCCCGAUGACUCUGAAACAUGCUUGGCCUUCCCCAGAGAUUCCUGCUCCCAGCCCAGGCCCAGACGGCAACAGAAGCUCAUGGAAUGGCAGACUCUGGACAUGCUCCUAGAGAUGGGAGGUCAAAAUGAUCAACGUUCAGGGUCCCUUCAUCUCAGAGGGUCUCGAGUCACCUCAUUUAAAGUGUGGCCUGGGACACCUCCUAUCCAGCCAUACGCCGCCCAGGACUGGCUCAACAGCUCCACCCUCCACUGCUGUUCACCCAUGACACGUCACUUCCCACCCGCCACUGCUGGCUCACCUGUGACACCCCAGGCAGCUCAGAUGCCCGGCAGGUCCUGCUGGUGUGUGUUAGCCGGGGUCUCCAAAGAACCAGAGCCAGCAGGGGACACACCCAUCUCUGUAUCUGGAGAAAAAGAUCGAUGAGAAGGAAUCUGCUCCUGUGAUGAUGGAGGCUGACAAGUCCCGAGAGCCACGGUUGGCACCCUGGAGACCCCUGAGGGUGAUACCACCACUCCAGGCUGAAAGCUGGCAGGCUUGAGACCCUGGGAGAGCUGGCCCUCUGACUCCUGGGACUUCUUAUUCUAUCCUAGUAUUUCCUCAGCUGAGUGCAUGGGGCCAGACCACACUGGGGAGGGCAGUCAGCGUCACUCAGAGCACCGGGUCAUCUCAUGCAGAAACACCCUCAAAGAAAUAGCCCAAAUUAUGCUGACCAAAUAUCUGGGCACCCCGUGCCCCAGACAAGUUGACACAGAAAAUUAACCAUCACAGGUUAACUCCAUCCAGGAGUGGAAUUGCUGGGUCAUAGAGAAGGCAUAGGAAUUCACAGAAAUCACCAAACGGUUUUCAGGCGGUUGUGCCAUGUUAAACUCCCACUGGAAAGAGAGGAGAGCUGUGAUUGUUCCACGUCCUCAGCAACGUUUAGAAUAGGCAGUCUUUGGCCGGGCCGGGCACAGAGGCUCAAACCUGUAACCCCAGCACUUUGGGAGGCCAUAGUGGGUGGAUUACCUGAGAUCAAGAGUUCAAGACCAGCCUGGCCAACAUGGUUAAACCCCGUCUCUAUUAAAAAUGCAAAAAUUA